UCCUGGUUAGUUCAGUUGGUAGAGCGCUCCAUUGGAAAUGGAGUGGCCAGUGGUUUGAUAUCAGGAC
rnacentral:tRNA from 1 species